rnacentral:rRNA from 1 species
CCUACGGGUGGCAGCAGUGGGGAAUAUUGGACAAUGGGGGCAACCCUGAUCCAGCCAUGCCGCGUGUGUGAAGAAGGCCCUCGGGUUGUAAAGCACUUUCAGUGAGGAAGAACGCCUGGUGGUUAAUACCCAUCAGGAAAGACAUCACUCACAGAAGAAGCACCGGCUAACUCCGUGCCAGCAGCCGCGGUAAUACGGACGGUGCGAGCGUUAAUCGGAAUUACUGGGCGUAAAGCGCGCGUAGGUGGCUUGAUAAGCCGGUUGUGAAAGCCCCGGGCUCAACCUGGGAACGGCAUCCGGAACUGUCAAGCUAGAGUGCAGGAGAGGAAGGUAGAAUUCCCGGUGUAGCGGUGAAAUGCGUAGAGAUCGGGAGGAAUACCAGUGGCGAAGGCGGCCUUCUGGACUGACACUGACACUGAGGUGCGAAAGCGUGGGUAGCAAACAGGAUUAGAUACCCUGGUAGUC